rnacentral:rRNA from 1 species
CAUGUAGGCGGCCUUAUAAGCCUGGCGUGAAAGUCACCGGCUCAACCGGUGGAUUGCGCUGGGAACUGUAGGGCUUGAGUCAUGGAGAGGAAGGCAGAAUUCCUGGUGUAGGGGUGAAAUCUGUAGAGAUCAGGAAGAAUACCAGUGGCGAAGGCGGCCUUCUGGCCAAUGACUGACGCUGAGGUGCGAAAGUGUGGGGAUCAAACAGGAUUAGAUACCCUGGUAGUCCACACUGUAAACGAUGUGCACUAGGUGCUGGGGCGGAUGCUUCAGUGCCGGAGCUAACGCGGUAAGUGCACCGCCUGGGGAGUAUGCUCGCAAGGGUGAA